rnacentral:rRNA from 1 species
GACGAACGCUGGCGGCGUGCUUAACACAUGCAAGUCGAACGGUAAGGCCCUUCGGGGUACACGAGUGGCGAACGGGUGAGUAACACGUGGGUGAUCUGCCCUGCACUUCGGAAUAAGCCUGGGAAACUGGGUCUAAUACCGGAUAGGACCACUGCCUGCAUGGGGGGUGGUGGAAAGCUUUUGCGGUGUGGGAUGGGCCCGCGGCCUAUCAGCUUGUUGGUGGGGUGAUGGCCUACCAAGGCGACGACGGGUAGCCGGCCUGAGAGGGUGACCGGCCAGACUGGGACUGAGAUACGGCCCAGACUCCUACGGGAGGCAGCAGUGGGGAGUAUUGCGCAGUGGGCGCAAGCCUGAUGCAGCGACGCCGCGUGAGGGAUGACGGCCUUCGGGUUGUAAACCUCUUUCAGCACCGACGAAGCGCAAGUGACGGUAGGUGCAGAAGAAGGACCGGCCAACUACGUGCCAGCCGCCGCCGCAG